GACGGGUCCAAACUACGUGGAGCGUGUCUCAAAUAAGAGUCCAAACACCUCUGCAAUGACUCAUCAAAUACCACCUAAAUGGAGAAAGAAUAAAAAAGAAACACUAUGAUAACUGCCUGGCUGCAUGCCAUAUAGAGUCGAACCUGACACCAGAACUUGUCAUGAGGUAAAGCCAGCAGCCACUCCAGAUCCUCUGAGAUGAACUGAGCAUUCUCCAGAAACUCCUCCACCAGCACAGGUGUGCCAUCUUCAGAUGUUUAACAGCUCCUGCUCAAGGCAUCACAUCUAUCUUCGUGGAUAUCCGGUUUACACGCACUGACGUCAUUUCAAAAUAAAAGUCGUUAGUUCUUCA